AUUCAGCUGACGAAUCCAAAAUAGGACGAAACAGGCGUUCUGGAU
rnacentral:hammerhead_ribozyme from 1 species